rnacentral:piRNA from 1 species
UGAGCCAUGCCCCUGGCAUCCAUUGCAAC